rnacentral:rRNA from 1 species
CCUACGGGUGGCAGCAGUCGAGAAUCAUUCACAAUGGGGGAAACCCUGAUGGUGCGACGCCGCGUGGGGGAAUGAAGGUCUUCGGAUUGUAAACCCCUGUCAUGUGGGAGCAAAUUAAAAAGAUAGUACCACAAGAGGAAGAGACGGCUAACUCUGUGCCAGCAGCCGCGGUAAUACAGCGGUCUCAAGCGUUGUUCGGAAUCACUGGGCGUAAAGCGUGCGUAGGCUGUUUCGUAAGUCGUGUGUGAAAGGCGCGGGCUCAACCCGCGGACGGCACAUGAUACUGCGAGACUAGAGUAAGGGAGGGGGAACCGGAAUUCGCGGUGUAGCAGUGAAAUGCGUAGAUAUCGAGAGGAACACUCGGGGCGAAGGCGGGUUCCUGGACAUUAACUGACGCUGAGGCACGAAGGCCAGGGGAGCGAAAGGGAUUAGAUACCCCUGUAGUC